AACGAACGCUGGCGGCAUGCCUAACACAUGCAAGUCGAACGAGACCUCCCGGUUUAGAGGCGCACGGGUGCGUAACGCGUGGUAACCUGCCCUUAGGUUCGGAAUCCCUCCCCGUAAGGGGUGCUAAUACCGGAUAAUGUCUUCGGACCUAAGAUUUAUCGCCUUUGGAUGGGCCCGCGUUGGAUUAGCUAGUUGGUAGGGUAAUAGCCUAUCAAGGCGACGAUCCUUGGCUGGUUUGGGAGGAUGAUCAGCCACACUGGGACUGAGACACGGCCCAGACUCCGACGGGAGGCAGCAGUAGGGAAUAUUAGACAAUGGACGAAAGCCUGAGCCAGCAAGGCCGCGGGAGUGAGGAAGGCCUUAGGGUAGUAAAGCUCUUUUACCCGGGAUGAUAAUGACAGUACCGGGAGAAUAAGCUCCGGCUAACUCCGUG
rnacentral:rRNA from 1 species